rnacentral:rRNA from 1 species
GACGAACGCUGGCGGCGUGCUUAACACAUGCGAGUCGAACGGAAAGGCCCUGCUUUUGUGGGGUGCUCGAGUGGCGAACGGGUGAGUAACACGUGAGUAACCUGCCCUUGACUUUGGGAUAACUUCAGGAAACUGGGGCUAAUACCGGAUAGGAGCUCCUGCUGCAUGGUGGGGGUUGGAAAGUUUCGGCGGUUGGGGAUGGACUCGCGGCUUAUCAGCUUGUUGGUGGGGUAGUGGCUUACCAAGGCUUUGACGGGUAGCCGGCCUGAGAGGGUGACCGGCCACAUUGGGACUGAGAUACGGCCCAGACUCCUACGGGAGGCAGCAGUGGGGAAUAUUGCACAAUGGGGGGAAGCCUGAUGCAGCAACGCCGCGUGCGGGAUGACGGCCUUCGGGUUGUAAACCGCUUUCGCCUGUGACGAAGCGUGAGUGACGGUAAUGGGUAAAGAAGCACCGGCUAACUACGUG